rnacentral:tRNA from 1 species
GGAUAUAGUUUAAUGGCUAAAAUGCUUGGCUCCAGACCAAGUGCUGAGAGUUCAAAUCUUUCUAUCCUC